AAAAAAAAACUAAAAAAAAA
rnacentral:sRNA from 1 species